CAAACACACCGAGCUGCAGGGCAAUGGAAGGCUGGCACCAAGCAUCCCACCACCUCUCAUGACAACCGAUGGUCAGGCUCAGAGCUGCUGCAAACGUCACCUCCUGCUUCAUACAGACACAAAGGCAAAAGAGUCCCAGUCGUGAAGCAAUCUGUGCUGUGCUAGGGACGAGGGGGAUGAUUUGUUCAGAGCAGCCAGGUCCUUGUGAUUAGAAAUGAGCUCGAUUUGGCAGGAAGCACUGAGGAAGGCUGGCAGAGAGGCAGCGUGGUCCUUGCAUGCAAGAUUUCUCCAGAAGUAAAGAAGCACUGGUGGAGACAGUGCAACCCCUGGCAAGAAGCAGCAACGCUGUGCAACAAAGGAAGGAGCCGCUUCCAGGUUAUGAAAACAUGCUGUUGAACUGAAUUUUGCAGCUGGGUUUUCAAAU